AUAUUGAGUUUGGAUAGGAUAAUCUGCAUCCUGAGGUUUAGAAUAACAGCUGCGUAAUUGUAUCUAAGCCUUGGAGUGCAGAUUAUCUCUUCCUUAACACCAAUGG
rnacentral:pre_miRNA from 1 species